UGAUUGUAAGCCUUCAUGAGGUCGAUGG
rnacentral:sRNA from 1 species